AUGUUUCAAAGGUUAUUCAUUGCCAUAAAUAUAAACAACAAUUGUACACCCAGAAUAUUCCCUGGCUGACAUUAUGUAUUGCUGGUGGUAUUAUAGUAUCCAAAGUUCAGCUGGCUGCCCAACCCAGAAGGUGAAAGAGCGAUAUGCUAUCUCAGAGGUGCACAAACACAUUUUCUCAAGCAAUCUUCAAGAACAGACCAUGAAAAUGUUUCAGGGAUUUGAUGUCCUGAAGUUUGAGUGGUGAUUCUAGCCAUAACAAGGUUCAACGAGUCUCUCUGAGGAGGGAGAGCAGUGGGCACUGCCUCUAAGAUGAGUCUCUCUGAGGAGGGAGAGCAGCGGGGCACUGCCUCUAAGAUGAGUCUCUCUGAGGAGGGAGAGCAGUGGGGCACUGCCUCUAAGAUGAGUCUCUCUGAGGAGGGAGAGCAGUGGGCCACUGCCUCUAAGAUGAGUCUCUCUGAGGAGGGAGAGCAGUGGGCACUGCCUCUAAGAUGAGUCUCUCUGAGGAGGGAGAGCAGCGGGGCACUGCCUCUAAGAUGAGUCUCUCUGAGGAGGGAGAGCAGUGGGGCACUGCCUCUAAGAUGAGUCUCUCUGAGGAGGGAGAGCAGUGGGCCACUGCCUCUAAGAUGAGUCUCUGGAGAACAUGACUCCAACUCAAAAGCUGAAAGACACCAACAGAACAGACCAAAGUCAGAGAUUCCUAAGUGGUCAGUCUGCCCAGAGUCAUCAACAAGACCUGCCCGCUAUACUAAAAGUGAGAUGUUUUACAUUGGUCUCGAUUACCCCAGUAAAGAAACUUGAUAUAAAAGCAUAGUUUUACAAUAUGCUGAAAUUAAAUUGGUAUUCUUUUGA